rnacentral:rRNA from 1 species
AGGGUUUGAUCAUGGCUCAGAACGUACGCUGGCGGCACGCCUAACACAUGCAAGUCGAACGAAGUAGCAAUACUUAGUGGCAGACGGGUGAGUAACAUGUGGGUAUCUGCCCUUUGGCCUGGAAUAACACGAGGAAACUUGUGCUAAUACCGGAUAAGUCUUUACGGAGAAAGCUUUAUGCACCAUUGGAUGAGCCCGCACUUGAUUAGUUUGUUGGUGGGGUAAUGGCCUACCAAGACUGUGAUCAAUAGCUGAUUUGAGAGGAUGAUCAGCCACAUUGGGACUGAGACACGGCCCAAACUCCUACGGGAGGCAGCAGUGGGGAAUCUUGCACAAUGGAGGAAACUCUGAUGCAGCGAUGCCGCGUGAGUGAAGAAGGCCCUUGGGUUGUAAAGCUCUUUCGUCGGGGAAGAAAAUGACUGUACCCGAAUAAGAAGGUCCGGCUAACUUCGUGCCAGCAGCCGCGGUAAUACGAAGGGACCUAGCGUAGUUCGGAAUUACUGGGCUUAAAGAGUUCGUAGGUGGUUGAAAAAGUUAGUGGUGAAAUCCCAGAGCUUAACUCUGGAACUGCCAUUAAAACUUUUCAGCUAGAGUAUGAUAGAGGAAAGCAGAAUUUCUAGUGUAGAGGUGAAAUUCGUAGAUAUUAGAAAGAAUACCAAUUGCGAAGGCAGCUUUCUGGAUCAUUACUGACACUGAGGAACGAAAGCAUGGGUAGCGAAGAGGAUUAGAUACCCUCGUAGUCCAUGCCGUAAACGAUGUGUGUUAGACGUUGGAAAUUUAUUUUCAGUGUCGCAGCGAAAGCGAUAAACACACCGCCUGGGGAGUACGACCGCAAGGUUAAAACUCAAAUGAAUUGACGGGGACCCGCACAAGUAGUGGAGCAUGUGGUUUAAUUCGAAGAUACGCGCAGAACCUUACCAACACUUGACAUGUUCGUCGCGACUCUAAGAGAUUAGAGUUUUCGGUUCGGCCGGACGAAACACAGGUGCUGCAUGGCUGUCGUCAGCUCGUGUCGUGAGAUGUUGGGUUAAGUCCCGCAACGAGCGCAACCCUCACUUUUAGUUGCCAUCAUUAAGUUGGGCACUCUGAAAGAACUGCCAGUGAUAAGCUGGAGGAAGGUGGGGAUGACGUCAAGUCCUCAUGGCCCUUACGUGUUGGGCUACACACGUGCUACAAUGGUAUCUACAACAGGAAGCAAGACUGCGAGGUCAAGCAAAUCCUUAAAAGAUACCUCAGUUCGGAUUGCACUCUGCAACUCGAGUGCAUGAAGCUGGAAUUACUAGUAAUCGUGGAUCAGCGUGCCACGGUGAAUGCGUUCCCGGGUCUUGUACACACCGCCCGUCACACCAUGGGAGUUGGUUCUACCUUAAGGCAAGGUUUCAAACCCUUGACCACGGUAUAGUCAGCGACUGGGGUGAAGUCGUAACAAGGUAACCGUA